ACGAACGCUGGCGGCGCGCCUAACACAUGCAAGUCGAACGGAGCUUAGAGAGCUUGCUUUUUAAGCUUAGUGGCGAACGGGUGAGUAACGCGUGAGUAACCUGCCCUAGAGUGGGGGACAACAGUUGGAAACGACUGCUAAUACCGCAUAAGCCCACGGUACCGCAUGGUACUGAGGGAAAAGGAUUUAUUCGCUUUAGGAUGGACUCGCGUCCAAUUAGCUAGUUGGUGAGGUAACGGCCCACCAAGGCGACGAUUGGUAGCCGGACUGAGAGGUUGAACGGCCACAUUGGGACUGAGACACGGCCCAGACUCCUACGGGAGGCAGCAGUGGGGGAUAUUGCACAAUGGGGGAAACCCUGAUGCAGCGACGCCGCGUGGAGGAAGAAGGUUUUCGGAUUGUAAACUCCUGUCGUUAGGGACGAUAAUGACGGUACCUAACAAGAAAGCACCGGCUAACUACGUGCCAGCAGCCGCGGUAAAACGUAGGGUGCAAGCGUUGUCCGGAAUUACUGGGUGUAAAGGGAGCGCAGGCGGGAAGACAAGUUGGAAGUGAAAACCAUGGGCUCAACCCAUGAAUUGCUUUCAAAACUGUUUUUCUUGAGUAGUGCAGAGGUAGAUGGAAUUCCCGGUGUAGCGGUGGAAUGCGUAGAUAUCGGGAGGAACACCAGUGGCGAAGGCGGUCUACUGGGCACCAACUGACGCUGAGGCUCGAAAGCAUGGGUAGCAAACAGGAUUAGAUACCCUGGUAGUCCAUGCCGUAAACGAUGAUUACUAGGUGUUGGGGGAUUGACCCCCUCAGUGCCGCAGUUAACACAAUAAGUAAUCCACCUGGGGAGUACGACCGCAAGGUUGAAACUCAAAGGAAUUGACGGGGGCCCGCACAAGCAGUGGAGUAUGUGGUUUAAUUCGAAGCAACGCGAAGAACCUUACCAAGUCUUGACAUCCUCCUGACCGGUCCUUAACCGGACCUUUCCUUCGGGACAGGAGAGACAGGUGGUGCAUGGUUGUCGUCAGCUCGUGUCGUGAGAUGUUGGGUUAAGUCCCGCAACGAGCGCAACCCUUAUUGCCAGUUACUACGUUAAGAGGACUCUGGCGAGACUGCCGUUGACAAAACGGAGGAAGGUGGGGAUGACGUCAAAUCAUCAUGCCCUUUAUGACCUGGGCUACACACGUACUACAAUGGCGUUAAACAAAGAGAAGCAAGACCGCGAGGUGGAGCAAAACUCAAAAACAACGUCUCAGUUCAGAUUGCAGGCUGCAACUCGCCUGCAUGAAGUCGGAAUUGCUAGUAAUCGCGGAUCAGCAUGCCGCGGUGAAUACGUUCCCGGGCCUUGUACACACCGCCCGUCACACCAUGAGAGCCGGGGGGACCCGAAGUCGAUAGUCUAACCGCAAGGAGGACGUCGCCGAAGGUAAAACUGGUGAUUGGGGUG
rnacentral:rRNA from 1 species